rnacentral:rRNA from 1 species
AACGAACGCUGGCGGCAUGCCUAACACAUGCAAGUCGAACGAGACCUUCGGGUCUAGUGGCGCACGUGUGCGUAACGCGUGGGAACCUGCCCUUAGGUUCGGAAUAACUCCCCGAAAGGGGUGCUAAUACCGGAUAAUGUCUUCGGACCAAAGAUCUAUCGCCUUUGGAUGGGCCCGCGUUGGAUUAGCUAGUUGGUAGGGUAAAAGCCUACCAAGGCGACGAUCCAUAGCUGGUCUGAGAGGAUGAUCAGCCACACUGGGACUGAGACACGGCCCAGACUCCGACGGGAGGCAGCAGUGGGGAAUAUUGGACAAUGGGCGAAAGCCUGAUCCAGCAAUGCCGCGUGAGUGAUGAAGGCCUUAGUGUUGUAAAGCCCUUUUACCCGGGAUGAUAAUGACAGUACCGGGAGAAUAAGCUCCGGCUAACUCCGUG